rnacentral:rRNA from 1 species
CCAGACUCCUACGGGAGGCAGCAGUGGGGGAUAUUGCACAAUGGGGGAAACCCUGAUGCAGCGACGCCGCGUGAGUGAAGAAGUAUUUCGGUAUGUAAAGCUCUAUCAGCAGGGAAGAAAAUGACGGUACCUGACUAAGAAGCCCCGGCUAACUACGUGCCAGCAGCCGCGGUAAUACGUAGGGGGCAAGCGUUAUCCGGAUUUACUGGGUGUAAAGGGAGCGUAGACGGCGAUGCAAGUCAGAAGUGAAAGCCCGCGGCUCAACUGCGGGACUGCUUUUGAAACUGUAUAGCUUGAGUGCAGGAGAGGUAAGCGGAAUUCCUAGUGUAGCGGUGAAAUGCGUAGAUAUACGGAGGAACACCAGUGGCGAAGGCGGCCUGCUGGACAUUAACUGACGCUGAGGCGCGAAAGCGUGGGGAGCAAACAGGAUUAGAUACCCUGGUAA